rnacentral:lncRNA from 1 species
CCUCAUCUUCUUUACCUUUCUUAUCUUUGAGAGCCAUCAUUGGAUGAACUGAGAAGAUAGAGAUCCUUGUUUUCUAGUUUGAUUACAUCCCAAUGUUUCUCUAUAUAUUAUAAGGUUGCAGGUUUACAGUGGCCUUAAAAGAGAGUUUUUGUCACAACAUGGUGAGCAGUUCCAUAUAUAAAUAGUGUGUUACAGCCUUCAUAAUACUGAACAGUUACAAAUCAAGAACUAUGAUGAAUCAUGGGUUAUAAAUCAAGUCUCGUAAUUCUGUACAGAAGCAGACAAUUUUCUUGCUGUUGUUGAGCUACAAGAACUAAACAUAUCAAUUCUUGUUCACAUGCAUUUUGUUUGCUUGUCUGCAGGAGAACUGCUCACAGCUAAUGAAAUGGUCCUUUUCCAUUAUUUCCUGCCA